AUGCAAUGAAAUAGCUCAAUUUUUCUAAAGUGGAAGUGGUAAUAAUAAUAUAGUGAUGUUUUACUAAUUGUGCGGCUAACAACCGCAAUAUUUGCCGUCUAUUCAAUUUUAUUUUACCAAACAGAAAAUAUUUUUGCCAAUCAGCUGUUUAUGGGAGUUUAUAUCUCGCUUUGCUGCCGUCUGUCACCUACAAAUUUGGAACUGAUUAAAAGCGCAGUUAAUCGGGGUUAACUUUGCCGUCUUUCUAGGCCAUAAAUUGCAAAUACACGCAAGUGAAAUUGUGCGGCAAACAUGGUGCAACUAAGUAUACAUAUGUACGUUUUUAUCAAAGAAAAAUGUAACAAGUAAGGAAAGGCCACAGACCACAAAUGAUAUAUUUGAUCCUUGAGCGAACGAAUACUAUCAAAGAACCCGGCUGGCAGCUGCUACUACACCCGCCGUAUACGACAGACUUGGCCCCUUCCGAUUACCUUUUUUAACAUCGAGCAGCACUACGGAGAAGUCGAAAAUUGCUUGUCUGAUUGGAUUGCUUCAAAAGACGGAAAUUACCUGGUUUAGAUAGCAUGCCAAAAUUGUUAGGAAACGUGAAAUCAAAUUCUUCCCAAGAGUUUUUAAUGCAUUUUUGUGGAUGAUUAAUUUCGAAAAAGAUGGAAAAUUGGUAUAAUCUUCGAAAGAAUAAUGUGUGAUCGGAUAGGAAAGCAACUUAAAGAAGUAGAGUCCAUGCAACAAUCAAUAAGGAUUUCGAAAGAAACGCUCGACCAUUGAGUAAAGUUUCAACCGCGGACAAAAAGCAGAAACAGUUUUAAUAGCAGAAAAAACGGAAGUCAUUACACGGAACAUUGUCGGGUAUAACGUUACAAGGGAGACUAAACAGAGCAAGUAAAAGACAGACGGCAGAUUAUUAAUAAGUGGCAAACACUAUGGACGCACGGUUUGACCAGAAAUCUGGUUUAGUAGACAACAUGGUGACGUUGAUUUUUAACUGACGCGAUGCUUAAGUGGUCAUGGGUACUUUAAGGAAUAUCUUUACAAAUAUGGUCGUGGUGAGACAGGAAUAUGCUCAUUUUGUGAAAGAACGAAAGAGGAAACAUUUAUUUUCUAAUGUCCCCGACAUGAAACAAAUAUAAUUAUUCUAGAAAACCAAAUUUCGGAGAGAUUAUUGCCGGACAAUGUAGUACCACGCAUGCUGCGGUCAAGGGGGUGUUUUUGCGGGGAAUUAUAUUUCUAAAUAAAGAAAACCUUAGCCGAAAGUCUACGUCAUAUGAAUUAAUACCAAAAGACGUGGAAAGACGCAUGUUGCAUGUCAAAAAUGCGUCAUGAACGCUACCAAAAUAUGUGGGAUUUGUAGCGAUUUGUGACUGGUAAUUAAAAAUGCACCAUUACGAUAACUCUUAACAUAAAAAAAUCAUAUAAAAUAUAAUACAAAAAAUACAUAAUAUCAUAUAUUAUAGUACCCAGACCUAUUAGGUACCUAAACAAAUACAAGAACGAGGCGCACAAAAUGUUAUGUUGCAGAAAUAUAAAUUAUAACUAACUACUACGUGGUGUGUUCAAAAAAUAACGGGUAUUUUAAAAUUGAAAUUAUCAUUUUUUUAUUAUUUGUUGUUAUAGCCUUAACCGAUGGCAACGCUAAUUUGCAUUAGCGGGCUUGAUUUGCAAUAAAUUGCGCAUUAGAUCCAUUUUAGUGCAAAUUAGUUUCAUAUAAAUGAGCACACGCCCCAUUUGCUAUUGUGAAUGGCGAUUUUUUGAUAAAAAGAAGAAGAUAUAAAAACGUGUACAACAGGUUUAAAUUUCUAGUUUUCUAAUUAACUUAUGUGUAAAUAUAUUAACAAUAAGUAAUUUUAUUGUUUUCAGAUGGCAGAAAAUAAACAGCAAACAGUUUCAACAACAACGACAACCAGCGAAAAAGUGCUGAUAGAUUUGUGCAUUUUUUUAAUGAAUAAACAGAUUUUUCAAGCAGCUGACUAAACGCACAAAUCUGUCGUCUAUCACCAUAAAAUUUCAAGUCGCAUUAGCAUUACUUAAGGUGGAUUAAUUUUGCUCGUCUGUCACUGCUAUUAUACAUGCCCAUGCGUACUAAGUCUGUAGCAGUUUGUAAGUCUAAAGUUCGACGUUUUUUAUGAGCUUGGCGAUUUUCGUUCGUUACUUGUUUGUGAAUGUUCGACCAAAAACAAUACUGCCACAACGAUGCGCAAGCCUCCAGAUAAAGAGAAGCUUAAAGAACCGUAGUUUUACAAGCAUAUGAGAAUUUGCUGAAAGCGCCAAAGGCUAUGCCAAAAUUCGAGUUUAAAAAUUGUUUCGAUGAUUGGAAGAAGCGCUGGGGACUAUUUUAAAGGCGACAACAUUAAUGUAGACAGGUUUUUUCAAAAACGCAAAACAAUCGUUAUUUUUUUAACACACCUCGUACAUAUGUACAUACUUGUAAGCAUACCAGGGCGGCGUAAUCUUCUACUGAUUCAUAAGCUGUUAUUAACACGCCUAUUGCGAGUGUCGACUGCCAGUAGAUAAUCGAUUAGUGAGCAAUAAUCGACUAUUAUUGUAAGUGUCGAUUAAACGCUCAACCAUCAACUAUGAAUGAUUUUCAAUCGCUCAUUUGUCGACAGAUACUUUUCGGUCGUUAUAAAUUUUUGAAUUUUGUCAAGCAAGUGACACAACAGCAUAUUAAAAUAUAAGCGACUCAAGUGCUGAACAUAAAGACGACGACACGACGUAGCGACGGCUGAUCAUAAAUGUCGUUUUGAAGCCAGCGUCUUGAACAUUUUCAAGACGGCAGCAAUUUCAUUGUUGUCGUACUAAAAUCUUUCACUUCAGUAAAAUUUACAUAUUUAGAUUAAAGCGAAAUUAUUUGUGCAAAAAAAUGCAAAAAUAGGUCGAUUUAUUUGUUUUAAAUCAGUGUCGGCCAAAAUGCAUUUUUCCUAUGACCGGGGCAUAGGCUAGCUACUGCGACGUCAAACACGAGUAUACGUAUACUCUUCUGCCAGCUUCAGAAAAAACGAAAGAACCAGUAAACUGCUCGUAUAAUAUACGAAUAGCUUGGUUCGGCAGCAGCGUAUGGCGAAGCUAAUUAUAUCACUUGCGUUUCAGAAUUCUGAGCUAGCACGUAUGCGCAAGUUUAAUUUUUUACACUGCCAGAAAAUACCCCCUUGCGUAAUUUAUAAAAAUGUUAAAAAUUGAAUUGGAAAAAAAUAGAUGAAACAAAAUAUUAUAACAUAAAUUUUUAAAUUAUAUUCCAUGUUUAGAUCCACAUAUAGCUGUGAAGUUUCAUUUUCAACACUUAAAUUGGUCCAAAAUAAGUAUAGAAACAAUCUUUCGGAUCAACAUAUGUAUAGCUGACCUCAUUCGAAUUAAGGAGUAUAAUUCUGAGAUAAAUGUGGUCAAAGUAAUGGAAAACGCACUGAUCAACAUUUGUACAAAUUGAACUUAAAACAUUUUCAUCAACAUUGUAAAAAAAAUUACUCAUUAUUUAUUCAGUGUACUUUUCUGCCAACACAGUUUGCAGCAACGAUUUACGCACACAAGUGAAAGCUACAUACUAUUGCAUUGGACAAUACUGUUUUAAAUAAUCAAUUGUUAUUAUAACUGAUAUAUCAAAGCUAUUUUUCGCUUUUGCUGGCAAAAUAACGUCAUACUUGUUAGAACUUUGAAUAAUUUUACAUUUCACAUAUUAGUGGCAGCUCUACAGCGGCCAUUGUCGUCGGCGAAAUUAGAAACAUUUCUAGUUUGGCGACACCAAAAGCUUCAACCAUUUUGUCGUGAAGUCGUGCUGUUGUCUAAAAAGCUGUGCCCAUAAGAACGCGUGUAUUUUAAUAUUUGACAGAUGUCGCUCGUCGCUUGUCGUCGUCUAUGUGUUCGGCAUUUGAAUCGACAGAACAUUUUGAUCUGUAGAAAUCUUACACCGCAUAAUACUAUAGACAGACAUGUAUGCCACAGUAACCAUAUGUGUAUAACCGAUGUGCGAAAUUUUACAAACGACAAUACAACUACAAUACGCUGCUAGAAGCCAUUGAAAUGCAGUGAUGUUGUGGAAUGUACUACAAUGGCACGCGCUAAACACACCGAAAGCUUUAAGCGCUUCUAUCACAAUCAUAUGUCUACUCACAUUUAAUGAAAGAUUUAAUGCAAAAUAAAGCGAAAAUAAAAACUUAAAUUUGAAAAAAUUAUAACUAAGCCGUGUACGAUUUCCUGCCUUUUGUUUAUAACUUUAUUUUGUUUAAAUGGAUGCUGUUGCAAAGCUGUUAUAUACUAUAUGUGUGUUACAUAGUUGCUUAAGUUUUUACUGUACGGCCACUGAUGUCUGUCUAAGGUACAACGUUAGUAAAACUUUCUAAAACGCAGUGCUCAGUUAUUGAACAUACAUAUAUAUUUAUAUCCAAUUAAAUGGUUAAUUAGUGCCUCUUUUACAAGCAUGCAGAAAUAAAGCAAGUUUUACGUACCUGUGCAUUGAGAAUUAGUUGAAAUUUGUUGACAAGUUUUCGCUGGACAGACAAUCCUUAUUUCUAAUAUCAGUCGUUCAAUCAAUUAAUCAAUCAAUUGACCAAUUAGUUUAUUUUCAAUUAUUGCAAUCAGUGAAACAUGUUGUUGAAUUAUUUUUUUUAUUUCAUAAUAUUCGUUCAGGUUUAAUUUGCAAAAAAACAAAAAAUAAGAGAGAAAAGUUAGUUAAAAACAUGUUCAUCCUAAACUGCUCAUUCAAUUUUGUUGUUUUCGUAUUACGUUUUUGCUUUUUUCUUAUUUAAUUGUUUUUUUUUUGUUAAUGUUUUGAUUUUUUUUAUUACUAAUUUGUUUAACAACAAUAUUUUUUUUUUGCGUGUUUGUACACUGGUAUGUGUGAGAUUGCUGUGGAGCUGAAUAUGAAUUGUCUAUAUGUACUGAUGUAUGUACAUACAUACAUACUCAUAUUUAACCUCAAUCAACAACGAAACAAGCUGUGUAAAGAAACCACUAAAAUUAUAAUAACUUUUACUGCUAGCAGAAAGCUAUUUAGUUAUGAGCGGAUAAUGUGACAUUUAACUCUACUAUUUACGGUUGCCGUUGGAAACAUCUAACAGAGAGGCAGAGAUAGCCAGAAUAUAACGUUAUGAAAUUAGCCAGCUAGUGCACAAGAACGACACCGAGCCGUUCGCUACCAAACGAGGUUUCAGCAGGAUAAGGAAGCGAAGCUUAUGGGUCUGGUGGUGAACGAGGACAAAAUGAAUUACCUAUUGUCAUUAAACAAACAGUCGGCGCAUUCGCGUCUUGGCUACCACGUCACUGUUGACAGUCAUAAUAUUGAAAUUGUAGUUAAUUGGGUCUACCUUGGGACCAGCAUCAACAACACCAACAACAAGGCCAGCCUAGAAAACAAACGCAGAAUCGCAUCCGCCAGCAGGUGCUUCUUUGGACUGAGUAGGCAA